AAUGAACGCUGACAGAAUGCUUAACACAUGCAAGUCUACUUGAAUUUGGGUUUUUUAACUUAGAUUUGGGUGGCGGACGGGUGAGUAACGCGUAAAGAACUUGCCUCACAGCUAGGGACAACAUUUGGAAACGAAUGCUAAUACCUGAUAUUAUGAUUAUAAGGCAUCUUAGAAUUAUGAAAGCUAUAUGCGCUGUGAGAGAGCUUUGCGUCCCAUUAGCUAGUUGGAGAGGUAACGGCUCACCAAGGCGAUGAUGGGUAGCCGGCCUGAGAGGGUGAACGGCCACAAGGGGACUGAGACACGGCCCUUACUCCUACGGGAGGCAGCAGUGGGGAAUAUUGGACAAUGGACCAAGAGUCUGAUCCAGCAAUUCUGUGUGCACGAUGACGUUUUUCGGAAUGUAAAGUGCUUUCAGUUGGGAAGAAAAAAAUGACGGUACCAACAGAAGAAGUGACGGCUAAAUACGUG
rnacentral:rRNA from 1 species